GGCGGCAGGCUUAACACAUGCAAGUCGAGCGGUAGCAGAUCUAGCUUGCUAGAUGCUGACGAGCGGCGGACGGGUGAGUAACGCGUAGGAACCUGCCCAGUAGUGGGGGAUAGCCCGGGGAAACUCGGAUUAAUACCGCAUACGCUCUACGGAGGAAAGAGGGGCUUCGGGCUCUCGCUAUUGGAUGGGCCUGCGUGAGAUUAGCUAGUUGGUGAGGUAAUGGCUCACCAAGGCGACGAUCUCUAGCUGGUCUGAGAGGAUGAUCAGCCACACUGGGACUGAGACACGGCCCAGACUCCUACGGGAGGCAGCAGUGGGGAAUAUUGCACAAUGGGCGCAAGCCUGAUGCAGCCAUGCCGCGUGUGUGAAGGAGGCUUUCGGGUUGUAAAGCACUUUCAGUGGGGAGGAAGGCCUCGUAGUUAAUAGCUGCGAGGAUUGACGUUACCCACAGAAGAAGCACCGGCUAACUCCGUG
rnacentral:rRNA from 1 species